AUGAGUGGUGUUUGGUUUGAUACGGGUGGUCGGCUCCCUGCUUGAGCAGGCACGGCCAUGCGUGCAUUCCUUUUCAGUUGUGCGGCAAGGCUUGUAUCGUCUUGAUCGUAUAAGUGGGUUUCUUGUGUUGCAUACCUGAUCAAUGGCAUCGUUUUGAUCAAAAUGGUACCUUUUUCGUCUGACGAUGCACUUAUUGCGUUGUCGGAUGAACCGUGUAGCAUCCUCUUUGAUCCAUACAGUUGACGUGUACUCGUUGAUUGUUUGGCCCGUUGAGGGUGACUUGGUCUCUCGGAUAUGGAAGCCAAAGUGGGCAUGGGUUCGCAAGAUCCCUUUAUUGCCCUCAUUGAGCGUUCUCGCUUCUCUUACACGACUGCCUUUCACGUAUGGCACGUCCCAGCGUGUUUGGCUAUGUCGAAGAGGAAU
rnacentral:misc_RNA from 1 species